AUUGAACGCUGGCGGCAGGCCUAACACAUGCAAGUCGAGCGAGCGGAGGACGGGUGAGUAAUGGAUGGGGACUGGCCAAUAGAGGGGGAUAACUACGGGAAACGGUGGCUAAUGCCGCAUACUAUCGGAUAACCCAUAUGGGAUUAGCUAGUAGGUGUGGUAAAGGCUCACCUAGGCGAAGCUGACUAGCUGGUCUGAGAGGAUGAUCGGCCAAACUGGGACUGAGACACGGCCCAGACUCCUACGGAGGCAGCAGUGGGGAAUAUUGCACAAUGGGCGCAAGUCUGAUGCAGCCAUGCCGCGUGUAUGAAGAAGGCCUUAGGGUUGUAAAGUACUUUCAGCGGGGAUGCGUUAUCCGCAGAAGAAGCACCGGCUAACUCCGUGCCAGCAGCCGCGGUAAUUC
rnacentral:rRNA from 1 species